GCCGCCGGGGGCCUCCUAUACAUGCAAGUCGAGCGAACAGAUAAGGAGCUUGCUCCUUUGAAGUUAGCGGCGGACGGGUGAGUAACACGUGGGUAACCUACCUAUAAGACUGGGAUAACUUCGGGAAACCGGAGCUAAUACCGGAUAACAUUUAGAACCGCAUGGUUCUAAAGUGAAAGAUGGUUUUGCUAUCACUUAUAGAUGGACCCGCGCCGUAUUAGCUAGUUGGUAAGGUAACGGCUUACCAAGGCGACGAUACGUAGCCGACCUGAGAGGGUGAUCGGCCACACUGGAACUGAGACACGGUCCAGACUCCUACGGGAGGCAGCAGUAGGGAAUCUUCCGCAAUGGGCGAAAGCCUGACGGAGCAACGCCGCGUGAGUGAUGAAGGGUUUCGGCUCGUAAAACUCUGUUAUUAGGGAAGAACAAAUGUGUAAGUAACUGUGCACAUCUUGACGGUACCUAAUCAGAAAGCCACGGCUAACUACGUGCCAGCAGCCGCGGUAAUACGUAGGUGGCAAGCGUUAUCCGGAAUUAUUGGGCGUAAAGCGCGCGUAGGCGGUUUCUUAAGUCUGAUGUGAAAGCCCACGGCUCAACCGUGGAGGGUCAUUGGAAACUGGGAAACUUGAGUGCAGAAGAGGAAAGUGGAAUUCCAUGUGUAGCGGUGAAAUGCGCAGAGAUAUGGAGGAACACCAGUGGCGAAGGCGACUUUCUGGUCUGUAACUGACGCUGAUGUGCGAAAGCGUGGGGAUCAAACAGGAUUAGAUACCCUGGUAGUCCACGCCGUAACGAUGAGUGCU
rnacentral:rRNA from 1 species